rnacentral:lncRNA from 1 species
CAUAAGUACAAAAAUCCUUACGUCAUCAGAUUGUGUUUCAUCAUAUGGGCUAAUUUCUUUCCUCAGGCUAAGCUGCAAGUUCUUGUCUGGAGUCGAAGGACCAAUAAUAUCGCCUUCACCUGCCCCCUCCUGGUCCACUCACCAGGAUGCCAGGCGGGACUUUUGCACCACCCUGACUGUGAGGCAAUGCCCUGGGGAUCCUGCUAAGACACAGCUGCUGACACGGAGACGGGGGUGCCUGAGGCCCUGCAUUUGUAACAAGCUUCCAGGCAAUGCCUGUAAUCCUGGUCCUCGGUCCAGAGUUUGAGAAGCAAAAAAAU